AGGCAGCAGUAGGGAAUCUUCCACAAUGGACGAAAGUCUGAUGGAGCAACGCCGCGUGAGUGAAGAAGGGUUUCGGCUCGUAAAACUCUGUUGUUAAAGAAGAACAUAUCUGAGAGUAACUGUUCAGGUAUUGACGGUAUUUAACCAGAAAGCCACGGCUAACUACGUGCCAGCAGCCGCGGUAAUACGUAGGUGGCAAGCGUUGUCCGGAUUUAUUGGGCGUAAAGCGAGCGCAGGCGGUUUUUUAAGUCUGAUGUGAAAGCCUUCGGCUCAACCGAAGAAGUGCAUCGGAAACUGGGAAACUUGAGUGCAGAAGAGGACAGUGGAACUCCAUGUGUAGCGGUGAAAUGCGUAGAUAUAUGGAAGAACACCAGUGGCGAAGGCGGCUGUCUGGUCUGUAACUGACGCUGAGGCUCG
rnacentral:rRNA from 1 species